rnacentral:rRNA from 1 species
UACGGAGGGUACAAGCGUUAUCCGGAUUCACUGGGUUUAAAGGGUGCGUAGGCGGGCAGGUAAGUCAGUGGUGAAAUCUCCGGGCUUAACCCGGAAACUGCCGUUGAUACUAUCUGUCUUGAAUAUCGUGGAGGUAAGCGGAAUAUGUCAUGUAGCGGUGAAAUGCUUAGAUAUGACAUAGAACACCCAUUGCGAAGGCAGCUUACUACACGAUCAUUGACGCUGAGGCACGAAAGCGUGGGGAGCAAACAGG